rnacentral:rRNA from 1 species
UCCUGAGGGGGAAAGCAGUGAUGCGCCCAUGGAGCGGCCUGCGUCCGAUUAGCUUGUUGGUGGGGUAAAGGCUUACCAAGGCGACGAUCGGUAGCUGGUCUGAGAGGAUGAUCAGCCACACUGGGACUGAGACACGGCCCAGACUCCUACGGGAGGCAGCAGUGGGGAAUAUUGGACAAUGGGCGCAAGCCUGAUCCAGCAAUUCCGCGUGGGUGAAGAAGGUCUUCGGAUUGUAAAGCCCUUUCGACAGGGACGAUGAUGACGGUACCUGUAGAAGAAGCCCCGGCUAACUUCGUGCCAGCAGCCGCGGUAAUACGAAGGGGGCUAGCGUUGCUCGGAAUGACUGGGCGUAAAGGGCGCGUAGGCGGCACACACAGUCAGGCGUGAAAUUCCCGGGCUUAACCUGGGGACUGCGCUUGAUACAUGUGAGCUAGAGGAUGGAAGAGGCUCGUGGAAUUCCCAGUGUAGAGGUGAAAUUCGUAGAUAUUGGGAAGAACACCGGUGGCGAAGGCGGCGAGCUGGUCCAUUACUGACGCUGAGGCGCGAAAGCGUGGGGAGCGAACAGGAUUAGAUACCCU